rnacentral:rRNA from 1 species
UACGUAGGGGGCAAGCGUUGUCCGGAAUUAUUGGGCGUAAAGAGCUCGUAGGCGGCUCGUUGCGUCGGCUGUGAAAACCCGCAGCUCAACUGUGGGCUUGCAGCUGAUACGGGCGGGCUGGAGUUCGGUAGGGGAGACUGGAAUUCCUGGUGUAGCGGUGAAAUGCGCAGAUAUCAGGAGGAACACCGGUGGCGAAGGCGGGUCUCUGGGCCGAUACUGACGCUGAGGCGCGACAGCGUGGGGAGCAAACAGG